UCAAACUUGGUCAUUUAGAGGAAGUAAAAGUCGUAACAAGGUCUCCGUUGGUGAACCAGCGGAGGGAUCAUUAGAGAGUAUAAAAACUCCCAACCCAUGUGAACCAUACCUCUCGUUGCCUCGGCGGAGAGAGGGCUUACCCGUCAAGGGCUACCCAGGUCGAGAGGCCCGGGUGACCUCCCGCCGCCGCUGGCCCACGAAAUUCUUGUUUUAUUUUGGAACUCUGAAUCUUAAAGCAAAUAAGUUAAAACUUUCAACAACGGAUCUCUUGGUUCUGGCAUCGAUGAAGAACGCAGC
rnacentral:misc_RNA from 1 species